rnacentral:rRNA from 1 species
GACGGGGCGGGCGUGCUUACACAUGCAGUCGAACGAUGAACCUCCUUCGGGAGGGGAUUAGUGGCGAACGGGUGAGUAACACGUGGGCAAUCUGCCCUUCACUCUGGGACAAGCCCUGGAAACGGGGUCUAAUACCGGAUAACACUGCGGAUCGCAUGGUCUGCGGUUGAAUCCCCCCCAAGGUGAAGGAUGAGCCCGCGGCCUAUCAGCUUGUUGGUGGGGUGAUGGCCUACCAAGGCGACGACGGGUAGCCGGCCUGAGAGGGCGACCGGCCACACUGGGACUGAGACACGGCCCAGACUCCUACGGGAGGCAGCAGUGGGGAAUAUUGCACAAUGGGCGAAAGCCUGAUGCAGCGACGCCGCGUGAGGGAUGACGGCCUUCGGGUUGUAAACCUCUUUCAGCAGGGAAGAAGCGAAAGUGACGGUACCUGCAGAAGAAGCGCCGGCUAACUACGUGCCAGCAGCCGCGGUAAUACGUAGGGCGCAAGCGUUGUCCGGAAUUAUUGGGCGUAAAGAGCUCGUAGGCGGCUUGUCACGUCGGAUGUGAAAGCCCGGGGCUUAACCCCGGGUCUGCAUUCGAUACGGGCAGGCUAGAGUGUGGUAGGGGAGAUCGGAAUUCCUGGUGUAGCGGUGAAAUGCGCAGAUAUCAGGAGGAACACCGGUGGCGAAGGCGGAUCUCUGGGCCAUUACUGACGCUGAGGAGCGAAAGCGUGGGGAGCGAACAGGAUUAGAUACCCUGGUAGUCCACGCCGUAAACGUUGGGAACUAUGUGUUGGCGACAUUCCACGUCGUCGGUGCCGCAGCUAACGCAUUAAGUUCCUCGCCUGGGGAGUACGGCCGCAAGCUAAAACUCAAAGGAAUUGACGGGGCCCGCACAAGCAGCGGAGCAUGUGGCUUAAUUCGACGCAACGCGAGAUCUUACCAAGCUUGACAUCGGCCGGAAAGCAUCAGAGAUGUGCCCUCCUGUGUCGGUGACAGUGUGCAUGCUGUCGUCAGCUCGUGUCGUGAGAUGUGGUAGUCCGCACGAGCGCACCCUGGUCUGUGUGGCAGCAUGCCCUCGGUGAUGGACUCACAGAACUGCGGGGUUCACUCGGAGAGUGGACGACGUCAGUCAUCAUGGCCUUAUGUCUUGGGCUGCCACGUCUCAAUUGCCGUUCAAAGUCUGACCGAGCGAGACAUCGAAGCCGUCCAUUCGAAUUGGGCUGUCACU